UCUGAUUUUAAAAAUGGUGAUUUGAUUAUAAAAAAAGUAGCGACAGUCGCUGAUUCAGAUCAUGGCUUGGGUUUCAUCGCUGAUUUUUCCGGCGACUCCAAAUUCUUGAUAUUCUAAUCGCAGCGAUCGAAAUUGAAGGCAAGAUGAAGAGAGAGAAAGAAGGAGCAAAGGUAUUUUUCAUGGUCGCUGUCGCUACUGUAGCGACUCAUAAACGAACAGGGCCGAUGUUGCAACGUAUCUUGUGCUUUCUUCUCAUCCACGGUUGCAGAAGGAAGGGUUUCUAACCACUUGGACCAAUUCUUUUGUUGGACCUUGGGAUCCAUCUCAAGGUUUAUACAACCCUGAUGAAAAGAUUAAGCUUUGGCUUUUUCUACCUGGGCGUCAUUCAUCAAUAACUGAUAAAGCUCCGGCUGCUGUCUCAAAGCUUAGAGUUGUUGCGUCAGGAAUUUGGGUAGCACCUGGGGACUCUGAAGAGAUAUCAAUUUGCCUUCUCUCAAUCUUUACGUAAUUGCAUUGAAAGAGCAUUAACCGGACUUUCCUACAUGAGAUUUUGGAGAUGUG